rnacentral:rRNA from 1 species
UACACUCCUACGGGAGGCAGCAGUGGGGAAUAUUGGACAAUGGGCGCAAGCCUGAUCCAGCCAUGCCGCGUGAGUGAUGAAGGCCCUAGGGUUGUAAAGCUCUUUCACCGGAGAAGAUAAUGACGGUAUCCGGAGAAGAAGCCCCGGCUAACUUCGUGCCAGCAGCCGCGGUAAUACGAAGGGGGCUAGCGUUGUUCGGAAUUACUGGGCGUAAAGCGCACGUAGGCGGAUCGAUCAGUCAGGGGUGAAAUCCCAGGGCUCAACCCUGGAACUGCCUUUGAUACUGUCGAUCUGGAGUAUGGAAGAGGUGAGUGGAAUUCCGAGUGUAGAGGUGAAAUUCGUAGAUAUUCGGAGGAACACCAGUGGCGAAGGCGGCUCACUGGUCCAUUACUGACGCUGAGGUGCGAAAGCGUGGGGAGCAAACAGGAUUAGAUACCCCAGUAGUCCC